ACCUUAUGGCCAACAGGAUUACCCACUUUUGUUUUCUUGUUUGGAUUAACCACGUGGAAUUCAGAUGGAUUGUACAACGACAACUUAAUUUGUGCUUCUUUCUCAGUUUUAGCCACUUCCUUGUUAACUUUCAUGUAGCUCUUCCUUGGUGACUUCCCGUUGGUGUAUUCCCUUUGCAGGUGAACAUUUACAAAAGAAUCAUCUAUGCCAUCAAUAUCCAUAUCGAGGUAGAAAUUGACGUAGUGAUCGUGCACAACUCCAAUUAUAUUUUCUGAUAAGAGGGUGCCAUAGAGUUCUUCUCCGUUUACUUGGUUCAUGUUCACAUAAGAGGUGCCUUUCACAAUCACUAUGCCAGUAAGUGAAACCUGGACAGUUAUUAGCGCAUUAGAAUUAAGAAUUAUAUAAGCAAUUUAGGCUAAACACAACUGUUAAACCAAAAAAUUCAUUUAUUUCCUGACUAAUGAGUUCUUCUUGACAAAUUGUUUUGACAAUAAAUUUAUAUGCUUUAGACAAGCAACAAGUUGAUGAAUUACAACUAUUGAGGAACAAGGUGAUAAAUGCAGAAAGCCGCACAUUGUGGUCCUUGUGAACCCUUUUAUGUUUGGCAGAUUCUAAACAUAUUGUGGCUGCCAAUUGCUAGCAAGAUUUGGUCGAUAAGGCCAAGAUUCAUUCCAUGGCUUCAUUCGUAGACGCUGUGUUAAGUAAAUAUUUCUAGAUUUUCUCUGCAAUAUUGUAUUACAUUCAGUUUGUAAUUUGUAACAAUAGUGACACAAGAUAUUAAAUCAGUCUUAGUUGCAAGGAUGGUAGCGUCACUCGCUAACUAUGAUUAUGUUAUCAACUGGGAAUUCCAUGCAACUAACUAUGAUUAUGUUAUCGACAAUGAAAUGCACGAAAAGUUAUUUCACCAAAAUCUUGAUGUCUCAGAGACAUUUGGAAUUGUUAUGAGGAAAACUGAACCAUUAUUUGCUAUUCCUUCUCCGAGAUUGUCUAAUUUGAGUCUGUAUGCAUAAUCAUGUUAUAUUUUGAACAUUAGGUACUUGUGUGGCUUGAUAUAUUGUUAAUCCGUAUGGCACGUGCUCUAAUGAUUACAAAAGUGUACCGAUUGUGAGAAAAAUAAAGUGGACUUGAGAGUCCUAAUUAUGGUUUCUUAUAUAGACUAUUUACUUUCAAUUUUUAUUCCAAGUCUAACGUCAAUCUAAAUUAGUCUAGUGAGCUAUUAACAAAACAAGAUUUUAUUUUCGAACUAGUUUAUUCUAAAUUAAUUAUAAUAUGCUUAUAAUUCAAUUAAAUCUAAAAUAAGUUACAUGAUUUUUAUUUUAUAAUAAACUUAAAAUUUUAUAACUCCCCGUUCAUUAAGGUACUAGAAUACUUUAUUUAUUUAAGUGAAGAGAUAUUAAACCAACAGAAAUUAAUUCUUGGAUCCGAGAAAUUUUAACUUUUUCCUUCAAUGGUGCAAAUUUUAAAUGAUUUGUCUUGCCAGUUAACUGUUGUUAUCUAUUUUGAUAAUUUUUAUUAUGGUGCUUAAGAUGAGUUUAUAUAUAUUUUGAUCUAAUAAAACUACAAUAAACAAUGAAUAUGUAGAAAUCCUUUUAAUCAUGGCAAUGAACUAGGAUUUUUGGCAUGUUGAGUUCAUGCACUGUUAAGGACAUCUCCACUUUUCAUUCUAAAAGUAAAAUACUAAGGAUUUCAUGUAAGUAAACCUUCUCUCGUCCUCAUGUGUGCGCUACCUUGUUAAAAGUAUAAAUGUGUUACCUAAAUUCCCUGUUAUGUGACAUUGAUAUUUGAUUAUUACAUUUUAUGUUAUUAUUCAUGCACGUUAAUACAUUCAUAAGCAUACAAGAAGUUUCAAGGAAUAAAAUGUCUGCAUAUGUCAUUGCUCAGUGAAUAUUUUAAAAAAAUAUGUAUCCCAAAUUUUUUUAUUACGAGGUAUAUGUCUAUGUCAUAAAAAGUAUGAGUAGGAAACGAGACAUGGGGGACCAGAGCACACAACCAAUGUUUAAUGAUAAUGUUAAUAUUAACAGCUUUGCGAUAUUACUAGUAGGACUCUACCAGGUUCCAAAUAAUAAUUGUCCACUUCAUUUUGAUUGAUUAUGCGAUACACCAAGUGAACUCACGUCAAUGUUGAGUUCUUAAAGAAAUGAAAGAAAGUGGAUAUAUAUUAAGAGUUGUUUUUAUUUUAAAGUAAUUCAUACGUAUAUCAUAAGAUUGCAUCUUUUGUUUAAUAAGCAUUAGCUCAUGCUACGUUAUCUCUCCAAAUUUUUAAAUGAUGAAAGCAUGAUGAUUUGAGAUGACUAAUUAUGAUGUGAUGGACUCAGUAUUACAUUUAAAUAUCGACUUCUUUUAGAAAUUAAAGUUGACAUUUAAUUUUAUUAUUAUUUUUUCAUUUAAGUGCUAAAAAAUUCUACACGUUAUGUUCAUAAAUGAAGUCAAUAAUGUUCAUUAUAUUAAAUAAAAAUUUAAUCCCUUGUGCAUUUGUGAUUUUAAGAGUAAGCCCUUGUUUGAGCUCCUUUCUUUUGGAAAAAUACAUUUUUGGACAAUGUUUUGACAUUAUUUCAAUUGUACAUUUUUCAAUAAAAUAAUAUUACACACAAAUCCAAAAUUUUUCCUUAUUUUUUAACCACACAUUUUUCAUCGAUAUACUAUUCAAAAAUUCAUUCUUCUCAAAGAAUAGGGUUCAAACAAGGGCUAAUUCAAAAGUUAAUUCUCCCAGAUACCUAGAUUUGGCGUUGUUACAAUUCAGCUCCAAUUUGAGCGUUCAGUGUAGGCUGUCGCUCGCCUACCAUGAGGUUGGGCAUUCGAGCACCACGUGUCAUUCGUUUCAUGCGAGCUUUAUCGCUCGAGCAUAGGUUGUAUUCGAUCCACGGCCCGUUAUGCAAUUUGAAGCGAUUUUAGGUUUCCAUUCCAUCUAUAAAAUCAUUGCUAAGGUUUUAUUUUAGCACACAACCUCUAGACUCGUCUUAGCAUUGAGAGAAUAUUAUUUCCCUAUAGUUAGCAUUAAAUUCUUGUAAAUGCCAUACUUUUGAUAAAAUAAAUUCUCUUCCUCUAUCAAAUUUAUGUGUUCAUGUGUUGUAAUUGUUACUUCAUAUUUUGUCAUAUAUCUCGCAUAUUCCUAACAAUAAAGCAACUACGGGUUGUAUUUGAGGUUUCCAACUUGUACACUUGCUAGUAAAUACACAUGCAGUAGUUGAUUUCCAACUACCUUUAGCCUCACGAAAUUUACAUCUACAAUCCCUCAAGCUUUACACCUUCACUACUUGAUUUAAACAUUAAACCUGACUGAGAUGAUCCCUGACAUCAAAGCAACCAUUUUAAUGCAUCGCAGUGCUGAGGUCUUGAGUUGGCCAUGAACAUUCUUAUUGUACUUAUAGCAUGGUACACAUCAAGUCUCAUAAUUACAAUGAUUGGGCCCACUGUCUUAUAAGAAGGUACCUUUUGAAUGUAUUUUCACUUCAAAUUCGAUAGCCCCACUUGAAAUGACAUGGUUAAAGUAAUACAUUUUGAUUUUAAUUUUCAUUCCAUUAUAUUCUAUUUGAAAAUUAAUGGAGGCCAAACAGAACGACAAUAUUGUCAAAAUGUUUGAAAUUUGUCUCGGAACUAAAACAAUUUUAGGUCUCUGUCUUUCAGGGCCAGUCCUGGGCACGGGCAAAUGAGGCCAGUGCCUCAAGCCCAAAACCACAAAGGGCCUAUGUUAGCCCAAAGUUUUUUUUUUUUAAUAUUAAAAGAAGGAAAAAGAAAAAGAAAAUAGUUUUUUCAUUAAUUGUGAGAUGAUUGAGAUAUUUGUUUGUUGUUUUAAUCUUUAGUUUUAAGUUAACAAUAUGUUACAUAAUAUAUCGUUGAAUUUAGCAUUUACGUUGAUUUUGGGAGACUUAAUUUUUAGACUUUGUCUCGAGCCCCGACAAUCAUAGGACUGGCCGUGCUGUCUUUCAAUGUCCAUGUCCAAUAUUCUGUCUAAUAUAUCCUAAAUCUUUUAUGUCAAAUUCAGUACUUUACACCGUCUUUAUAUGGUUUAUUUUAUGCAUGUUUGAACUAAUCAAUAACAUGUCAUCAACUUAAAAUAGCAAGUAAGGAGUCAAUUAAUUUUUUACUUGAAAUUUAAUUUGAAGUGGAACGGCAGAAAUUUUUCAUAAGAAAGACAGUGAUCAAAUUUUUAUAGUUCAAGAACACAUAGCUAUGAUUAAUGAUUACUAUCCCCUUUCAAGGAAAAAUUAAAAAUAAAAAUAUCGACAUCAGCCCAGCCCCAAAGAAUUCGCUUCGAUGCCAAUGCCUACAUACCAUCAUAAUCUAGUUCAUCUUGGGGACAGACAUCAGCCCAGCCCCCAAAGAAUUCAUUUCAAUAUGGGCAGCGGAUCACUCAACGCACUAAGGGGUUUGUGUCACCCUGCCCGACCCGACUGAACAAAAUGCUCGUUCUCAGGCUGAAGCAGCAGCUUUGCAAACUGGCAGCUCUUUCUCAACAUAUGGUGCAACCCUAAGAACAGGGUUUCUCUCAAAGAAAUUCACCGGUUUGAGGUCGAAGCCUGCUGAGACUGUGGGCAUCAUGGGGAAGUCUUCUUGGCACGGGACGUGAUGAAAGCCCAAUGUAUACCAUAAAACAAUGUCCCUGUUCUCAAUAGGUCGAUCCCUGGAAAUUCAAAUACAAUUUUAUGAGUAUUGGACAAUACAAGAGUAUGCAGUAAGAUGUAAUGCAAUGUUAUUUUGGCUGAAUAUUAUUACCUGUCAGACCAUACUUGAAGAGUAUCUUCACCAUGACUCUGAUAGGCAAACAAACCUCCAGACCAUUGCUCUGACUUGUUAUACUGAGUAACCCAAAUUUGGUUAUUAGUAAAUGCACUUCUCUUCUGUGGAGGAUCUUCAGGAUCGAGCAAACUAGCAGCGGUGCCAGCAGGAACGACCUUAUAGCCAACAGGAUUACCCACUUUUGUUUUCUUGUUUGGAUUAACCACGUGGAAUUCAGAUGGAUUGUACAACGACAACUUAAUUUGUGCUUCUUUCUCAGUUUUAGCCACUUCCUUGUUAACUUUCAUGUAGCUCUUCCUAGGUGACUUCCCGUUGGUGUAUUCCCUUUGCAGGUGAACAUUUACAAAAGAAUUAUCUAUGCCAUCAAUAUCCAUAUCGAGGUAGAAAUUGACGUAGUGAUCGUGCACAACUCCAAUUAUGUUUUCUGAUAAGAGGGUGCCAUAGAGUUCUUCUCCGUUUACUUGGUUCAUGUUCACAUAAGAGGUGCCUUUCACAAUCACUAUGCCAGUGAGCGAAACCUGGACAGUUAUUAGCACAUUAGAAUUAAGAAUUAUAUAAGCAAUUUAGGCUAAACACAACUGUUAAACCAAAAAAUUCAUUUAUUUCCUGACUAAUGAGUUCUUCUUGACAUUGUUUUGACAAUAAAUUUAUAUGCUUUAGACAAGCAACAAGUUGAUGAAUUACAAUUAUUGAGGAACAAGGAGAUAAAUGCAGAAAGCCGGACACUGUGGUCCUUGUGGACCUUUUUAUGUUUGGCAGAUCCUAAACAUAUUGUGGCUGCAAAUUGCUAGCAAGAUUUGGUCCAUAAGGCCAAGUUUCAUUCCAUGGCUUCAUUCAUAGUCAUAGACAUUGUGUAAAGUAAAUAUUUCUAGAUUUUCUCCGUAAUAUUGUAUUACAUUCAGUUUGUAAUUUGUAACAAUAGUGACACUAAGUAAUAACACAGUGAAAUGCGUGAAAAGUUAUUUUAACCAACCUU
rnacentral:lncRNA from 1 species